CCUAACACAUGCAAGUCGAACGGUAACAGGAAACAGCUUGCUGUUUCGCUGACGAGUGGCGGACGGGUGAGUAAUGUCUGGGAAACUGCCUGAUGGAGGGGGAUAACUACUGGAAACGGUAGCUAAUACCGCAUAACGUCGCAAGACCAAAGAGGGGGACCUUCGGGCCUCUUGCCAUCAGGUGUGCCCAGAUGGGAUUAGCUAGUAGGUGGGGUAACGGCUCACCUAGGCGACGAUCCCUAGCUGGUCUGAGAGGAUGACCAGCCACACUGGAACUGAGACACGGUCCAGACUCCUACGGGAGGCAGCAGUGGGGAAUAUUGCACAAUGGGCGCAAGCCUGAUGCAGCCAUGCCGCGUGUAUGAAGAAGGCCUUCGGGUUGUAAAGACUU
rnacentral:rRNA from 1 species